GCAUUAAUGGGGUAGUGGUAACCUGGGUCGUUGCCAUAAAUGCAUGUGUCCUGCGUCGACCCGCCGGGAGUUCGAUUCUCUCUUAAUGCA